GCCUGAAGGCGCCUUGCAGGGCGCCCGCGGGAUCUGCGAGAGCCCAGGAGGGGAGUUGCAGUUGUAGGCGCACGGCGGGGAAAGGGGCUGGAAGGGCAGCGUUCGGGGAAUUUCAAAUGCACGGACUACCGGUAGUGAGCUCCGGGCGAGGAGUCGCGGGGGUCGCUCACCCAAAGCCACGGCGACGAGCAGGGACAGGGGCUUCAUGGCGCUGCGCUCUCCUCAGUCUUCUCAGCCCCGAAGCCUCUUGUUCCAGUUCCCUCUUUCACUUUCACUUUCCUCCGAAAGCCAGCAGAACCGGACGGAGGAAAUCCCCGCUCGGUUAGGUGAGGGCGCGUGCGUGGGCAGCGGGUGCCUCCCGCACUGGCCACGUAGGGACCGAGGAGCAUCCUCCCCAGUUCAGGUGGGCACCUCGGCCCUGCCGCGCCCUCCUGGACCACCCAGCAGCGCCAAGUUGGAACCCUCCCGGAACCUAGGCUCCCUCUCAGAGAACCUCCCCGCACCUGCCCGCCCCUCCCCUCCCGUUCCCCCAGAACCAUUAUCCUAGCUUUCCUCUACCUCUGCUGGGUAACCAGCAAACACAUAGGGGCGGUCCGGAAGCCAAGUGAAAUGACCAAUAAAUAUUUUAAUUAUUGUUUAAAAAAA